rnacentral:rRNA from 1 species
GACGGAGGAUGCAAGUGUUAUCCGGAAUCACUGGGCGUAAAGCGUCUGUAGGUGGUUUAAAAAGUCCACUGUUAAAAAUUGAAGCUUAACUUCAAAGAUGCCGUGGAAACUUUUAAACUUGAGUAUGGUAGGGGUAGAGGAAUUUCCAGUGGAGCGGUGAAAUGCGUAGAUAUUGGAAAGACCACCAAUGGCGAAGGCACUCUACUGGCCAUACUGACACUGAGAGACGAAAGCUAGGGGAGCAAAUGGG